GAUGAACGCUGGCGGCGUGCUUAACACAUGCAAGUCGAACGAUGAAAGCGGGAGCUUGCUCCUGCUGGAUUAGUGGCGAACGGGUGAGUAACACGUGAGCAAUCUGCCCCGAACUCUGGGAUAAGCGUUGGAAACGACGUCUAAUACCGGAUACGACGCGCGAAGGCAUCUUCUGCGCGUGGAAAGAAUUUCGGUUCGGGAUGAGCUCGCGGCCUAUCAGCUAGUUGGUGAGGUAACGGCUCACCAAGGCGACGACGGGUAGCCGGCCUGAGAGGGUGACCGGCCACACUGGGACUGGGACACGGCCCAGACUCCUACGGGAGGCAGCAGUGGGGAAUAUUGCACAAUGGGCGAAAGCCUGAUGCAGCAACGCCGCGUGAGGGAUGACGGCCUUCGGGUUGUAAACCUCUUUUAGCAGGGAAGAAGCGAAAGUGACGGUACCUGCAGAAAAAGCACCGGCUAACUACGUGCCAGCCGCCGCAGUAAUAC
rnacentral:rRNA from 1 species